rnacentral:rRNA from 1 species
AAAUUGAAGAGUUUGAUCAUGGCUCAGAUUGAACGCUGGCGGCAGGCCUAACACAUGCAAGUCGAACGGUAGCACAGAGAGCUUGCUCUUGGGUGACGAGUGGCGGACGGGUGAGUAAUGUCUGGGAAACUGCCCGAUGGAGGGGGAUAACUACUGGAAACGGUAGCUAAUACCGCAUAACGUCGCAAGACCAAAGAGGGGGACCUUCGGGCCUCUUGCCAUCGGAUGUGCCCAGAUGGGAUUAGCUAGUAGGUGGGGUAACGGCUCACCUAGGCGACGAUCCCUAGCUGGUCUGAGAGGAUGACCAGCCACACUGGAACUGAGACACGGUCCAGACUCCUACGGGAGGCAGCAGUGGGGAAUAUUGCACAAUGGGCGCAAGCCUGAUGCAGCCAUGCCGCGUGUAUGAAGAAGGCCUUCGGGUUGUAAAGUACUUUCAGCGAGGAGGAAGGCAUUAAGGUUAAUAACCUUAG